CUGCCCAGAAUUUUCGGGUUCC
rnacentral:miRNA from 1 species